rnacentral:lncRNA from 1 species
GUUCGACGAUCACAAGGCAGAGGGUUUGGGUAUGGGCACCCAUUGCCAUCGGUCGUUGGUCUCCCUGUAGCCGAGGCAAAGAGGAGGAUAAAACAAUGCAGGCCAGAUGUCUACAUUGAGGUCCUUUCGGCAAUAGGAAUCAGACGAGGUCACAGGUACAGGCGCCUCGCCAAGUGUAACAAGAGACACGCCCCGUUCUUGUCUCGUACCGACUCUGCUUCGGACGGCCGUUCACCAGUUCUGCUCCUGCAUCCUUUUGCCAUCAUCAGAAUUACUCACCGGAGUCCAGAGAGGCGGAGAGCCGGAGCGGAGAGGCAGUGGCGCCUGGGCGGCUGCCGGCUGGGUGCUGGAACCGCCGGCCGGAGAGGUGGCGCCUGGGCGGCUGCCGGCUGGGUGCUGGAACCGCUGGCCGGAGAGGGUGCGCUAGCCGGCCAGGCCUGGGGCACGCCAGUGACUCGGCGAGGGGCGAAGGGAGUCGUGGAGAGUGCGCGGCCGCGGCGCCGCGUGGGCGCCGGCGCGGCGUGUGAAGGCAGCGGCGCCGCUGCCACGGCUAGGCGCGCGCGCCUGGCGGGAGCCGGGAGGCCGCCGCCCGCCAGCUGGACGCGGCGGGAGGAACGGCGGCGCGAGAGCGCCGGAGUCGCGGCUCGCGGGACCGUCGUCGCCGUCGGUCGUUUGGAACUUGGGAGCAGUGGCGGAAAGGGAGGGGAGAUUGCACGGGAGAGAGGAGAAGAGAUUAGGGUUAGCAAUAACCAAAACAACGCGACUGAAAUUGAAACAUCAACCGGUAGCAGACUGCCCGGGCGAAAGAGACUCCUCUGGUCGCCAAUAAUUUUCGGUGUGACCACGGUUAAAGAUUGUUCAGUACAAUACGCAACACGCAGUGCCUUCUCGAAGUGCAGAGGAAUUAUUAAAGCACCUGAAGAUGAGAUGACCGCAUACUUCCAACAUGGUUUGGUUCACGCGAAACGUUGGAUUGGUUAUCGUUUCGCGGUCUCUUCUGGUCGAUUUGGUGGGUUAGCGGGUGAUUGUGGAACAAGUCGGGUGCAGGGUGCUAGUGGUUUCCGUAAGCAGCUCGACUUGACAACAAAUUUCGCCACCCAAUCCGUAAUAGAGCGUACAGUCUCUGCCGGUGCAACAGCAGGGAGAUCAACAAAAAUGGAAUACAGUAAAUUAGACUUGGUGCAGGAGUGGCGUUUUAGACUUAAUUCGCACUUGACAGCUACUAGGGGUUUUACUUUUUCUUAG